CCUACGGGUGGCAGCAGUGGGGAAUAUUGCACAAUGGGGGGAACCCUGAUGCAGCGACGCCGCGUGGGUGAAGGAGUAUUUCGGUAUGUAAAGCCCUAUCAGCAGGGAAGAACAAUGACGGUACCUGACUACGAGGCACCGCCUACAUACGUGCCAGCAGCGGCGGUAAUACGGAUGGUGCAAGCGUUACCCGGAUUUACUGGGUGUAAAGGGAGGGCAGGCGGCGCGUUAAGCCUGGUGUGAAAGUCCGCGGCCCAACCGCGGGACUGCAUGGGAAACUGGCGGGCUGGAGUGCCGGAGGGGUAGGCGGAAUUCCUGGUGUAGCGGUGAAAUGCGUAGAUAUUAGGAGGAACACCAGUGGCGAAGGCGGCUUACUGGACGGUGACUGACGCUGAGGCUCGAAAGCGUGGGGAGCAAACAGGAUUAGAUACCCCUGUAGUC
rnacentral:rRNA from 1 species